rnacentral:lncRNA from 10 species
GCGUAAACCGGGAAGCGGAUCGCGUGGAGUGAAAGUCACCGCAGCGGAGAUGGACAAACCAUGUGGGUGCCCUCCAGGUGUGUGCGACCAUGAAAUGGGAGACUAGCAGGACCCACGUUGGCCAACCGUGGACCUGGUCCCUCCAGUAGGAGUCGUGAGCCAGCUGAAUUUGAAUGCAAAGAUGGAGCAAGGGCCGACUGGAGUCACACUGACAUCCACCCCCAUAACAUGGGGACAGAUCAAGAAAACAAAGCAGGAAGCUGAGAAAAUGCUGGAGCAUCCAUGUGCUUGGCCAUGUUAGCAGUAGUGUCCUGUGAGGAUUGAUUUCCAAAAACUCCUGUUACAUGAGGAAGACACCAAGAAGAGCAAAGAAAAGGAGCCAGGGUGGCUCUUCCUCAGGUGCAGUGGCUCACCCCUGUAAUCUCAGCACAUUGGGAGGCCAAGGUGGGCAAAUCACCUGAAGUCAGGAGUUCAACACCAGCCUGGCUAACAUGGCAAAACUCUGUCUCUACUGAAAAUUCGAAGUGCAGUGGGCACCUGUAAUCCCAGCUACUCAAGAGGCUGAAAUCUUUGAAUUCAAGAGGCAAAGAUUGCAGGAGCCGAAACGGCACCAUUACACUCCAGCCUGGGCGACAGAGCAAGACUCCGUCUCAAAAAAACAAAGAAAGAAACAAACAAAAAUUUCCAUAACCUGCAAAGACUACUUUCUCCACUAGAACUCUUUGUUAUUUAUGUCAGAAUUAUUUCUGUAUAUGUUGCAUUUUCAUUAACAUAUAUGUACAGUGUUUUUUUUGUGCUUUUUUCUGCUAAAUAAUUGGAAAAAAAAG